CAAUGGGCGAAAGCCUGAACCAGCAACGCCGCGUGUGCGAUGAAGGCCUUCGGGUCGUAAAGCACUUUUCUGGGAGAUGAGAAAGGACAGUAUCUCAGGAAUAAGUCUCGGCUAACUACGUGCCAGCAGCCGCGGUAAAACGUAGGAGGCGAGCGUUAUCCGGAUUCACUGGGCGUAAAGCGCGUGCAGGUGGUUCGGUAAGUUGGGCGUGAAAUCUCCUGGCUCAACUGGGAGAGGUCGUCCAAUACUACCGAACUUGAGAGCAGAAGAGGAAGAUGGAAUUCCCGGUGUAGUGGUGAAAUGCGUAGAUAUCGGGAGGAACACCAGUGGCGAAGGCGAUCUUCUGGUCUGUUUCUGACACUCAGACGCGACAGCUAGGGUAGUAAACGGGAUUAGAGACCCCGGUAAUCCUAGCCGUAAACGAUGUGAACUUGGCGUUGGUGGGUUAAACUCCAUCAGUGCCGAAGCAAACGCGAUAAGUUCACCGCCUGGGGACUACGGCCGCAAGGUUA
rnacentral:rRNA from 1 species